rnacentral:misc_RNA from 1 species
CCAAUAGCGUAUAUUAAAGUUGUUGCAGUUAAAAAGCUCGUAGUUGAAUUUCGGGACCAAUCUGCCGGUCGUGCCUCCGGUACGCACUGGUUUUAUUGGUUUCUCCCUUCUGACGAACCAUGAUGUCAUUAAUUUGGUGUCAUGGGGAAUCAGGACUGUUACUUUGAAAAAAUUAGAGUGUUUAUAGCAGGCUCACGCUUGAAUACAUUAGCAUGGAAUAAUGAAAUAGGACGUUUGACCCUAUUUUGUUGGUUUCUAGGAUCGACGUAAUGAUUAAUAGGGAUAGUUGGGGGCAUUAGUAUUCAAUUGUCAGAGGUGAAAUUCUUGGAUUUAUUGAAGACUAACUACUGCGAAAGCAUUUGCCAAGGAUGUUUUCAUUAAUCAAGAACGAAAGUUAGGGGAUCGAAGACGAUCAGAUACCGUCGUAGUCUUAACCACAAACUAUGCCGACUAGGAAUCAGACGAUGUUAAUUUUUUAAUGACUCGUUUGGCACCUUACG